rnacentral:rRNA from 2 species
UGGGGGAUAUUGCGCAAUGGGGGAAACCCUGACGCAGCAACGCCGCGUGAAGGAAGAAGGUCUUCGGAUUGUAAACUUUUGUCUUUGGGGAAGAAAAAAAUGACGGUACCCAAGGAGGAAGCCACGGCUAACUACGUGCCAGCAGCCGCGGUAAUACGUAGGUGGCAAGCGUUGUCCGGAUUUACUGGGUGUAAAGGGCGUGUAGACGGGACUUAAAGUCAGAUGUGAAAUACCGCAGCUCAACUGCGGGGCUGCAUUUGAAACUUAAGUUCUUGAGUGCAGGAGAGGAAAGCGGAAUUCCUAGUGUAGCGGUGAAAUGCGUAGAUAUUAGGAGGAACACCGGUGGCGAAGGCGGCUUUCUGGACUGUAACUGACGUUGAGGCGCGAAAGCGUGGGUAGCAAACAGG